GAGAAGGAAAUAUAAUAAGAGAAAGGGAAUGGGAAGCCCCUUUCUCUUUCUCUUUUCUUCCUUCUUCCCAACGGAAAGGGGAGAAGAGGGUUCGGCAGCAGGUGGCCCACGGCCGGCGACACCCCAUGGUCGUCGGCCUGUGGCGGUGCCGGCGGUGCCACACCUGGCGACGGCCGGCCGGAACGAGAGAGAGAAGAAGGCCGAAUAGGGCUCGGCUUCUCCUUCAAUCCGGCGACUUCCCGGCUACAUUCCCAAAGAGGUAAUGGCCAAAAAUGAUGGAGGAGGAGAAGGUGCUCUCACCUUGCCUCCGGCGAGGUCCUCCCGAUCGGAUCGACGGCGAACGGUCCGAUCCCUCCCGCGGCAAGGUAGAACUCCAAUCUCCCUUCUUUUUUUUUUUGUGUGUGGAAGGGCCCUCGGUUGAUGCCCUAGGAAAAGAAAGAGAGGAAAUCUCCCUGAUUUGGUAGGGUUUUAUCGCCCUAUAACCUCCCCUCCGAUGGAUUCGGAAGGAGGGGAGAAGAGCUUGAAAACAGGGGAGGGAGCCAAUCGGGAGUCUCCCUCCCCGCUUUCUCAUGCGUUGGGCCGCCUCGCUUGGAGGCCGGCCCAAACCACAUGCGGGCCUUACACUAUAUGGGGACUCGAUUUCCAUUAAAUUUAGCGUUUAUAUAUGUUUUCCUAGUUGCCUCAUUUGAAUUAUUCAGGUGCAACAUCCAAUGGCAUUAAUCUAAUGUCUAGUGUUCAUGAUACAUUCUGAAAGUAAGCUAAUAUAAAAGUCAGUAAGAACAUUAGUUUCAGGUGCUUUUGCUGCACCCAGGAAAUGCAUGCGUCUAAGUAAUACUAGCCCCUUCAAAUCAAUCAUGAAAUAUGACCGUCCCUCACUGCAUUUCAUUAAGGUAAUGAAAUAAGAGAAACAGAAGGUGAGGUUGGGAGAGAUCAUCUCCAAACGGAGCAUAAAAACAGCAAUGACCACCUUAUGUCAUCUCCAAACCGUUGCUUAGAACAACAAAGAAUGAAUCUCCACCCAUACAUAUCAGAUCAAAACACCAAACAACCAAGACGUAGAUAUAAUCCAGGCUAGAAACCAGAGCACCUGAAAUUGAAAGAAAGGCCAUGCUUUCCUUGAUCACUAGAGCAUGCAGGAUAAGCGAGAUGCCAUUUAACAUACCAGAGCUGCCUCCUGCUGAGAGUUUUGUUAUUAACUGGUCUAGCAUUUCAUGUAUUUCUGGUUAUUGGAGGGGAAUAAUUUGUUGCGUUGUUUGUUUUUCAGGAUCUGAAUGGGCUUGAUCCAACCUCUAGAGCCCCCUCUUCCAAAUUUGUCCUGUACAGGAACAAAUUGAGGCCCUAAUGAUUUUUGUAUAUAAUAACUUACAUAGUAAAGAUUACUUAAUAUUUUUGUGAUGGUAUAAGAGUCUACAACUUGAUUAGUCUCUCUCAGAAAACCACAUUUCCCCUCAGCAAUUUGUACAUCUGUUCUUGUUUGCGCAGCUGCUGUUAGAGUAUAUGUUGCUUUCUCUGGUGUAGCAAAGUGCUCUUUUGCAGUUCUGCAGCUAUUGUGCAUAUGAUAAUUAAUUACAUAUGGAGAUCUAGAUUCCUUUUUCUGAGGUCUGGUACACAAGAGUUCUUGUUCUAAGGUUUUCAAGCAAGAGGGGCCCAUAGGAUUGUGAUUUUUUGUAAAAGAAGAGGAGAAAUUAAAGGGCGAAUAAGGAAGUCUCAUUGAUUUGGCCCUCUUCUUGGAGAUGAAAUUCUUAAAAGUGGGUGGCAUUUUACUAAUAUUUCAGAAGGUUGUGGAGGCUGCCUAUCUCUCCUUGGGCAAGGCUUGCAUGGUCUGCCUUAGGUAUUGUGGUGACAGAAUUUAAGGGAAAGGGGAAUUUAGUAAAAGCUUGGUUAGUUUAGCUAAACUAGUCCUGAGAGGUUACUCGAAUAAGCCUUUCAAGAUUAUAAGGAAAAUGUUGAAAUUGGUAAAGUUGAUUUUUUUGGAAUAGUCUAGAUACAUAAUAAUCUAUAUGCAUGCAAAGAUCCUUAAUAUAUUGAUGCACUUUUCCAUCUUUACAUCUUCCUAUAAUGUCUCCUCAUUUUCCUAUGCAGUCUUAAUUACGUGUAAUUAAUGUGAAUGCAUGUACUAGAAGUCUCCAUAAAGUCUAUAAAAUACUUUCAUAUCAUUGUAUUUGAGAACAUAACCACAAGUUGAUUGGUUUCUAUCUUUGUAUUGAGUUGCUUCAAUUAAUUGUUCACUCUUAUUCAUCUUUGGAGUUCUUUGUGUGUAGCUUGCUUUUUUCUUCACAUUGUGGCCGGUGAUUUUGGGCUAGUGUAACUUUGAUUGCACUAUUAUUUCUUAUAGAAAAUGCAGUACUUUCCUACUUAAGUCUUAAACUAUUAUUUACCUUCUCUUUAAAUUUAUUUAAGGUAUUAAAUUAAAUAUUGAAAUUAAUAGUGAGAUAUACAUUAGUAGGCAGAUUUUUAUGACUCUAUUUUUUUUUUGCCCUUUUAGAGAGAAAGUCCAUAUUUGAUAUUAGGGUUCACAUAUGCUCUCCAAGAAGCCUUAAAUAAUCAGUCCAGUAACCCACAUUAAUUUAAGGCAUAAUAUCCAAUGACAUUAUAAUCCACUGUCCACAUUUCAUAACACUUUCUCUAGUAGGUUAACAUUAAAGGUGCAUUUGGUUUGUGAUUGAAAUCGAAAUUUGAAUCGGAAUCAAAUCAAAAUGGAUUGGAAUGGGAAUUGGAAUGGCCAUAUGCAUUUGGUUCAUCACCAUAAUUGGAAUCUGAAUGAGAUUUAAAUACUAGAAGAGAGUAGGGAUUGAGUUUUAAAGAAUUGGGGCAUUUCCAUUUUGUCCUGGAAUUAGAAUGGAAAUGGGACUCUACCAAACCAAAUAGCUAGAAUGGGAGUCACUCAUUCUCAUUUCCAUCCAGAGUCCAACUUCUUUCAACCAAACAUUCCCUAAAGUCAAUAAAAACAUCAGUUUUAGGUGCUUUAACUAUACCAAGUUCUGCAAGUUUUAUUCUCACCAGCCCCUUAGAUCAAACAUGAGAUAUAACCAUGCCCUUAUCCCACAACCUAAACCUUAAUGCUCAUCGCUCAUCCCUCUAAAUAAAUGUAUGUACAAGAUCUCUUGAUAUACUGCUAUUUAUUUAUAUGGAAUGAUAGACCUCAAUUACAUUAUUUGCAGCUACAGAAAGCAUGUUGUGUACAAUUAAUCAGCAAUCCUUCUUUGGAGUGAUCUGAUAAAAUAGAACAUAAUGUGUCAUUAAUGUAUCCCAAUAACUAUUAUGCAUUGAUGUAAAUGUGAUAAAAUUAACAGUGCAUUUUUUACAAUGUUGCAUGGCUCAUUUCAACUGAAUGAGCAUCAACAUGUAAUAAACUUAAACACUUCAGGUUUAUGAAUGGAUAUAUGGAAGACAAAGUGAUGCCAAACAAUAACGAAGGAAAACCUAUGCUUUUCUUGAUUAUUCAUUGCUAACAGUAGACACAUGAAGAUGCCUUUUAACACACCAUGGCAGCCUUCUGACCUGAGAAUGUUUCUUGUUACUAAGUCUUCCACUUCUCAGCAUCAAAAGUCUAUUCGGCUUCAGUCCGUAGAUUUAUGUUUAUGUUGUCUUAGAAUAGAAUAUACAGGUUAAUUUUUCUCUGUUUUUUGGAAUAUAUAGUAGAUUCCCAUUUAACAACAAAAUAUCACAAUGGCUGUAACUGCUAUGAGACUUCUUUGAUCAGCAUUAGAGAACACCCAUAUCAAAGGUACUGAGAUGUAUUGAACAAAGUUUUGAAAACACCAAAUGGCCUUGGAUUCAAGCUGGCCAGCCCAAACUUCUGCAUUGGCGAUGACCCUUUCCACUCCCUUCAGUGCCUUGGUUCCAACCCCUUUCCAAGUCUUUGUUUUCGUGAACAAGGCUUAUAGGUCCCCAGGAUCUUGUCCCACAUUACAAAGAAGGGCUGGGAGUAGUUGUAUCUACAGCCUGAGAGCUGGUGAUGAAUGUCAUGAUAAGCAGUAUUGUUCUCAAAGACCAUGUGGAAUGGAUUCCAAGGAAGCAAUAAUCCACAAUGGUCAUCUAUGCCUUUGAUAGUUGCCAAGGAAAGAAAAGUAUGGAGGUUUUUGGUGACAUCCCGGAGAUGAAGUAAGAGAGGGCACCAGCCACAGUCUCGAUGAGGAUCCCAUCCACAGGGUGGUUGUAUUGAGCACCAAAGGCAUAUGGAGCAACCAGCCGGUGAUGCCAAGAGUGAAAGUGACGGUACAAGAACUUGCUGUGGUGCAUGCAUCUGUGCAUGAAAUACUGCCAUGUAUCGAAUACUAACAUAGCGAUCAGGAUUUGUCCCGCCUGCACCAUGAUAGAAGAAGGUGGUGGAUACGUCGUGAUGGCCACAAUAUCCUUGCUUGUUAUCUGUAAAUGGGCUAAGAUCGAUAAACUAUUAGUUGAUAAUUAAGAUUUUGUUGGAAAUUUAAAAUGGAGUUAUUGGAAGAAGGGAGACCAGUUAUAUGAACCUAGUCAUAUACAAGUUCCAAUAUGAGAAUACAGCAGAAAGGAUACUUGAUAACUAAAUGGUUCAUUUCUUAUAAAAAUACAAAAAAGAAAUAACUGCAUGGUUAUGCUAUGUGCUUAUAUUGCAGUGGCAUCAAAGUUGGGAUUUUUUUUUCUUUCAAGUGAGAGUUUAUUAAAUAAUUGAUCUAUCAGAGCGCAUAUUUACCGUGAAAAUUUCAAGGUUUUCAUACUUAUUGUGAAGUAUCGUUGCCAUGAAACUUCCUUGACAUUAAAUUGAAGCAUUUCUGCUAUAAUAGUUUAACAAUGUGUAGCUGAUCAUGUUAUUCAACUUUUCUUUCCUGGAGAAGAUUAUCUAACAUAUAUAAGCUCGAGUUGCAUGAGGAGCACUGAGACGUUCAAGUCGGUAAUUCUUUCUUUUCCUUUUCUAUUUAAUUGCAUAAUUGAAAACUCAUAUCAAUUGUUCAUUAGCUAGUACUUGUUGUGAUAUAUGUAAGGUUAUAUGUGCAAAGUUAAUUUCAACAAAAGCCUUAUUUUUGGACUUUUUCAUAUGCUCAACUUUGGGAGAUAAGUAAACAUUAAAUCAACUCAUUAACAUCAUAUACCUUCAUUCAUGGAAAGCAGAAAAUCAAGAUAUAUAGUUAAGGUGGAAGAAGAAAAGAUCACGAGUAUCUUCGAAUCAACCUGAAACACAAGGGAUGCAAUGGUGGCCUGGAUCACUUGUUGAAGAAGAACAACUGGAAUGACUUCACUCUUUGCAACUACGUUUUCAGUAUCAUCCCCUUCUGGGUGCAAACGGUGGCACCUGACAAAGCUCAUAGAAUACAACAUCAUACAGACCCCAGAAUAGACCCAGUAAACC
rnacentral:lncRNA from 1 species